GGGUUGUGAGGUUAAGCGACUAAGCGUACACGGUGGAUGCCCUGGCAGUCAGAGGCGAUGAAGGACGUGCUAAUCUGCGAUAAGCGUCGGUAAGGUGAUAUGAACCGUUAUAACCGGCGAUUUCCGAAUGGGGAAACCCAGUGUGAUUCGUCACACUAUCAUUAACUGAAUCCAUAGGUUAAUGAGGCGAACCGGGGGAACUGAAACAUCUAAGUACCCCGAGGAAAAGAAAUCAACCGAGAUUCCCCCAGUAGCGGCGAGCGAACGGGGAGCAGCCCAGAGCCUGAAUCAGUGUGUGUGUUAGUGGAAGCGUCUGGAAAGGCGCGCGAUACAGGGUGACAGCCCCGUACACAAAAAUGCACAUGCUGUGAGCUCGAUGAGUAGGGCGGGACACGUGGUAUCCUGUCUGAAUAUGGGGGGACCAUCCUCCAAGGCUAAAUACUCCUGACUGACCGAUAGUGAACCAGUACCGUGAGGGAAAGGCGAAAAGAACCCCGGCGAGGGGAGUGAAAAAGAACCUGAAACCGUGUACGUACAAGCAGUGGGAGCACAGAGCAAUCUGUGUGACUGCGUACCUUUUGUAUAAUGGGUCAGCGACUUAUAUUCUGUAGCAAGGUUAACCGAAUAGGGGAGCCGAAGGGAAACCGAGUCUUAACUGGGCGUUAAGUUGCAGGGUAUAGACCCGAAACCCGGUGAUCUAGCCAUGGGCAGGUUGAAGGUUGGGUAACACUAACUGGAGGACCGAACCGACUAAUGUUGAAAAAUUAGCGGAUGACUUGUGGCUGGGGGUGAAAGGCCAAUCAAACCGGGAGAUAGCUGGUUCUCCCCGAAAGCUAUUUAGGUAGCGCCUCGUGAAUUCAUCUCCGGGGGUAGAGCACUGUUUCGGCAAGGGGGUCAUCCCGACUUACCAACCCGAUGCAAACUGCGAAUACCGGAGAAUGUUAUCACGGGAGACACACGGCGGGUGCUAACGUCCGUCGUGAAGAGGGAAACAACCCAGACCGCCAGCUAAGGUCCCAAAGUCAUGGUUAAGUGGGAAACGAUGUGGGAAGGCCCAGACAGCCAGGAUGUUGGCUUAGAAGCAGCCAUCAUUUAAAGAAAGCGUAAUAGCUCACUGGUCGAGUCGGCCUGCGCGGAAGAUGUAACGGGGCUAAACCAUGCACCGAAGCUGCGGCAGCGACGCUUAUGCGUUGUUGGGUAGGGGAGCGUUCUGUAAGCCUGCGAAGGUGUGCUGUGAGGCAUGCUGGAGGUAUCAGAAGUGCGAAUGCUGACAUAAGUAACGAUAAAGCGGGUGAAAAGCCCGCUCGCCGGAAGACCAAGGGUUCCUGUCCAACGUUAAUCGGGGCAGGGUGAGUCGACCCCUAAGGCGAGGCCGAAAGGCGUAGUCGAUGGGAAACAGGUUAAUAUUCCUGUACUUGGUGUUACUGCGAAGGGGGGACGGAGAAGGCUAUGUUGGCCGGGCGACGGUUGUCCCGGUUUAAGCGUGUAGGCUGGUUUUCCAGGCAAAUCCGGAAAAUCAAGGCUGAGGCGUGAUGACGAGGCACUACGGUGCUGAAGCAACAAAUGCCCUGCUUCCAGGAAAAGCCUCUAAGCAUCAGGUAACAUCAAAUCGUACCCCAAACCGACACAGGUGGUCAGGUAGAGAAUACCAAGGCGCUUGAGAGAACUCGGGUGAAGGAACUAGGCAAAAUGGUGCCGUAACUUCGGGAGAAGGCACGCUGAUAUGUAGGUGAAGUCCCUCGCGGAUGGAGCUGAAAUCAGUCGAAGAUACCAGCUGGCUGCAACUGUUUAUUAAAAACACAGCACUGUGCAAACACGAAAGUGGACGUAUACGGUGUGACGCCUGCCCGGUGCCGGAAGGUUAAUUGAUGGGGUCAGCGCAAGCGAAGCUCUUGAUCGAAGCCCCGGUAAACGGCGGCCGUAACUAUAACGGUCCUAAGGUAGCGAAAUUCCUUGUCGGGUAAGUUCCGACCUGCACGAAUGGCGUAAUGAUGGCCAGGCUGUCUCCACCCGAGACUCAGUGAAAUUGAACUCGCUGUGAAGAUGCAGUGUACCCGCGGCAAGACGGAAAGACCCCGUGAACCUUUACUAUAGCUUGACACUGAACAUUGAGCCUUGAUGUGUAGGAUAGGUGGGAGGCUUUGAAGUGUGGACGCCAGUCUGCAUGGAGCCGACCUUGAAAUACCACCCUUUAAUGUUUGAUGUUCUAACGUUGACCCGUAAUCCGGGUUGCGGACAGUGUCUGGUGGGUAGUUUGACUGGGGCGGUCUCCUCCUAAAGAGUAACGGAGGAGCACGAAGGUUGGCUAAUCCUGGUCGGACAUCAGGAGGUUAGUGCAAUGGCAUAAGCCAGCUUGACUGCGAGCGUGACGGCGCGAGCAGGUGCGAAAGCAGGUCAUAGUGAUCCGGUGGUUCUGAAUGGAAGGGCCAUCGCUCAACGGAUAAAAGGUACUCCGGGGAUAACAGGCUGAUACCGCCCAAGAGUUCAUAUCGACGGCGGUGUUUGGCACCUCGAUGUCGGCUCAUCACAUCCUGGGGCUGAAGUAGGUCCCAAGGGUAUGGCUGUUCGCCAUUUAAAGUGGUACGCGAGCUGGGUUUAGAACGUCGUGAGACAGUUCGGUCCCUAUCUGCCGUGGGCGCUGGAGAAUUGAGGGGGGCUGCUCCUAGUACGAGAGGACCGGAGUGGACGCAUCACUGGUGUUCGGGUUGUCAUGCCAAUGGCACUGCCCGGUAGCUAAAUGCGGAAGAGAUAAGUGCUGAAAGCAUCUAAGCACGAAACUUGCCCCGAGAUGAGUUCUCCCUGACUCCUUGAGAGUCCUGAAGGAACGUUGAAGACGACGACGUUGAUAGGCCGGGUGUGUAAGCGCAGCGAUGCGUUGAGCUAACCGGUACUAAUGAACCGUGAGGCUUAACCUUACAACGCCGAAGGUGUUU
rnacentral:rRNA from 1 species